GAAGCAACUCAAAGAAAACUAUCAGAACAUAAAACAACAAUUGGACAGCCUGAAGGCUGAGCGUGAGGAAGGAGUGAACUUCAGUUCUGAACUGGUGAGGGAAUACUUGAGCCUUAUGGACCCGUUGAUCGUACUGAUGAAGAAAUCUGUGAAGGUUUUACCUGAUGAUUUUCCUCGAGUUGACACAUUUAUGGAGAACAUUAAGAAUUACUUGAAUAAAAUACAGGCUAACACUGACAGGGAGAAUGAGGAGUUGGGUGAGAAAAUAGAGGAAAGUGAAAUGAAACUGGGAGAACUGAAAAAACUGAUUGAAGUCCUUGAGGAAAAGCAAGCUGAAUUGUAACUUCCAUGUCAGUCAUUUCAUUUUUCUUUAAUAAUGCAUCUUUUGUAUCUGUGGUUAGUUUCUAUUUCAUAUAGUACAGCUUUGCUUAACUUCAGUUUAACUUUUUUAGAGCUGUCCUUCUUUACUGUCUGAUAUAAAAAAAAAACAAAACAUUUCACUAUCAGCUACCAUUGUGCACAGGCUUAUAUGUGCUGAUGACAACUUUUAAGAAUACAUUUCCAGUUGGUACUUAUUUUUCUGCCAUUACUUAAAUAUAGAAGUGGAAACAAUGUUUAUAUAAACUGCAAACUGCCACACAAUAAAGACAUUUACCAACUGCU